rnacentral:miRNA from 4 species
UUGCAUAGUCAUAAAAAUGAGC